UUUUCUUCUCUCAUGUUCUCCCUCUCUCCCGCCUCCAUUGUGUUGGUACUAGGCCGACACGGCAUGGUGCGGGGCCGUACCGACCCAUGACUCCGGGCAACCGGUACAGGGCCUAGAACUGGCACAACAAAUGUUAGGAUGUAUCAUAAAAUCAAGAUGACUCGUAAAAAAUUCAUUUUCUUGUAAAGAACAAAGUUUUUUUUUAGAUAUAUUUAGAAGUAUCCAUGAGACUUAAAUAUCUUUAUAAUGUUGAAUUUAAAACUUCUAUAAUGUUCUAUUUCAAAUGCUUUAGCAUUAUUACUUUCUACAGUUUCAUGUCAAGGUUCUUCCUAAUAAUUAAAUUUAUGAAGAUUUCAGAAAGACAGGUAAGCGAUUUCGGAGAAACUAUAGACAUAGACCUAGGGUAACAAAGAUUAAGUAUAGAUUAGUCUGCAACAAGCUUUUCUUUAUUAAUGAAAAGAAAGCAAGAAAAGAACUCACAGAUGCACCAUCAAUCAACUCCUCAACCAAAAUCAAGGCCAAAACCUUGAAAUGAAUGUUUCCCUUAUCACAAAAGUUAAAUAUGUAUUUUUAAGAAAAAAGGGAUCCAUAAUGAAGGUAACAUCACAUACCGAUGAACAACAACAACCACCAACUUACGUUUUUUUUUUUUUGUUGAUAAACCAACAACAUAAGUUUAUUGGGCUACCUUAUACCAACAAGAAAAACGAGAGAUGAUACCUAUGCAAGUAUAUAUGUAAAAAGGAACGUUACCAGAAUUUAUUCGUGCGUGAUUAGAUAAAUUUCAAGCACAGAUCUGGGAC
rnacentral:lncRNA from 1 species